CCUACGGGAGGCAGCAGUGAGGAAUAUUGGUCAAUGGGCGGAAGCCUGAACCAGCCAAGUAGCGUGCAGGAUGACGGCCCUACGGGUUGUAAACUGCUUUUAUACGGGAAUAACGCGCCUUACGUGUAGGGCUUUGCAUGUACCUUAUGAAUAAGGACCGGCUAAUUCCGUGCCAGCAGCCGCGGUAAUACGGAGGGUCCGGGCGUUAUCCGGAUUUAUUGGGUUUAAAGGGAGCGUAGGCCGCAUGUCAAGCGGGCUGUGAAAUUUCGGGGCUCAACCCGGGCCUUGCAGCGCGAACUGGCGUCCUUGAGUCCGCGGAAAGCAGGCGGAAUUCGUGGUGUAGCGGUGAAAUGCUGAGAUAUGACGAAGAACCCCGAUUGCGAAGGCAGCCUGCUGCAGCGGAACUGACGCUGAUGCUCGAAAGUGCGGGUAUCGAACAGGAUUAGAUACCCGUGUAGUC
rnacentral:rRNA from 1 species